rnacentral:lncRNA from 1 species
GAGGAAAAUGGAAGAAACGGAGAUACUUUUAGUGAAGCAGAAUAAACCACUGAACAGGAAAAAUGAGGAAGCUGUGAGUACCAGUGGAAGGAACGAGCCAGGAAGAGGGACUGGAACCAUCUCAGAAGCCAUGCCCCUCAGGCUGGAACUUGCCCUGUCUCCUCGCAGAUGAGACUGAGUGUACUUGGUCUGGUAUUUGUGGCAUAACUUACGGAACACAUAAGAAUGAUACAGAUACUAUUUAAUGAUGACCUAAUACAAGCUUAGAUAGCUAAGGUGAAAGCUUCUAUGGCCUUAACAUUUUCCUCUUGAAGAAUGUAUUUUCUGUAAUAAAAUACAGUGGCUACUUGAAAUCUAUAAACUUAUGUGAGGUCUGGAUAAAUCUGAGCAACUUUCUUCUUUGUGCUCCAGGAACCUACGCACUAUAUAUAUAAAUAAAGCUUAAGUAAACAU